AUUUGACAUUGUGUUUUAUUGACAAUUAGUAACAUUUAAUAAUUGACAUUUAAUAAUAGAUACAUUAUUUUAAAUAAAAUAAUAUCGACAUCUAGCAAAUUCGGAAGCAGUAAAAACUUGCCUUAAAAUACGCGCAUCUCCAACACAUCCGUCAUAGAUAUUGCAAAUUUCAAGGAAUAAAUUAUAACGACGGACACACGCUGUGCACAUGUACUCGUAGAUUAACACGAGUGCAAUAGAAUUCCAUACGCGAAAAAUAUUCACCGUCGGCCGACGGAACCUCACACGCGCACAGAUGAACUAAUAAACUUUUAACGCGUGGUAUCACACUAGCGAAACCCCGUUUACGCUCGAUACCAAUAUAUGCCGUCGUUUGUUUAUGAAAUAUAAACUGAUUUACUUAAUUACAAUUUGAAAGAAGGAAAAUGGUCGCGAUAAACCCGCGCUAUCCCGUCCGUGGUCGGAAUAAAACUGCACACAGUCGACGGCCACAACACGCGGUCGCUAUCAGUAUUGCGAUACAAUCGCAGAACAGAACCAAAAAAAUUGUUUACAUACAAGCACUGACGCUGCUAUGCGAAUAUUUAAACUAUGACUGGGCAGCAGUGCCAGACAAAGUCGGAAUGCCGUUCAAAAGUGCACAUUUCCCACCACUGGACGGACUUCGAAUGAAAUCUAUUCGAUUAGACAACUUUUCUUUUAUAGUCAGAACUAAAAUCGAGCGAAAGAAACACGAGG